AUACGUAGGGGCCUGACGUUGUUCGGAAUCAUUGGGCGUAAAGGGCGCGCAGGCGGCCGUCCAAGUCCGGUGUUAAAUGGUCGGGCUCAACCCGAUCAUGCGCUGGAAACUGGGCGGCUGGAGUCCCGGAGGGGAUGCCGGAAUUCCAGGUGUAGGGGUGAAAUCUGGAGAUAUCUGGAAGAACACCGAUGGCGAAGGCCGGCAUCUGGCCGGAGACUGACGCUGAGGCGCGAAGGCGCGGGGAGCGAACAGGUUUAGAUACCCUGGUAGUCCGCGCAGUAGACGAUGCGCACCAGGUGUCGGGCGGCAGCGCCCGGUACCGGAGCAAACGCGAUGAGUGCGCCGCCUGGGGAGUAUGCCCGCAAGGGUGAAACUUAAAGGAAUUGACGGGG
rnacentral:rRNA from 1 species